GGUCAAGCGCCCAAGGGCGCGGGGGGGAUGCCUAGGCGUCAUCAGUGAUUCGGGCGUGGUAGGCUGCGAAAUGUCCGGGGGAGCUGCCCAACGAGCGUCGAUCCCGGAAUGCCCGAGAGAACGGAGGGAACUGAAACAUCUCAGUACCUCCCGGAAAGGAAAUCAACCGAGACUCCCGUAGUAGCGGCGAGCGAACCGGGACCAGCCCAAACCGAGCGGUUUUUCCGUUCGGGGUCGUGGGACCGACGAUCUGGAAUCGACGACGACGAGCCGAAGUCUCUUGGAACGGAGCGCCGCAGCGGGUGAGAGCCCCGUAGGCGAAGUCGAAGUCGUCCUAGUCGGCACCCAAGUAGGGUCGGGCACGUGAAACCCGGCCUGAAUUCGCGGGGACCCUCCCGCAAGGCUAAGUACUCGAUGACGACCGAUAGCGAACCCAGUAGGGCGACCGAACGGUGGGAAGAACCCCGACCAGGGGAGGAGACUGAACCUGAAACCCCGUGCCUACGAGCGGUGGGAGGGCGUCUGGCUUCGGCCGGCCUGACCGCGUGCCUUUUGCAUAAUGAUCCGGCGAGUUACUGUGCCCGGCCUGGUUAAUCC
rnacentral:rRNA from 1 species